GUAUUAAGUGCCAUGACCAAUUAAUAUGCACAUAUACUCUAACUAUUCCCUGGGGAAGUGGUUAGCGCUACCUUGGAAAAUAGUUAAUAGAAGGUGUUUUUUUAGAGACGGAAGUGAAGAAGAUCUAAACACUGGAUACCGUCCGGGGAAGCGUCAGAAUAAUAACUAUUGAAAUGGCGACCGGCGGACCCAAUGCUCCCGGUAAAGUGGGGGUAGAGGAAGAGAAGUUUAAUAGAGCCAUAAAGGCGCUGAAAAAGUCGCACGGACAUUAUACCAAUUCGCCUCGAAUAUGGGAGAAAAAAAUUUGCAAACUGGAUCAAAUUGGUCAGCAUUUCCCGGCUAACGAAAAAUUCCAAUCUAAUAGAGAAUUCAGGGAGGCAAUUGUGACUUGGCACAAUGACAAAACCAGAAUCAAAAGCUCAAUGUACCAUUGUUUUGAUGUCUGCAUUCUAUCAACAAAAAAUACAAACCGAUAAACCCAGAAUUAGUGGAUGUACUCAGCUACAGAAGGACUGGGUACGUAAGUACAUUGAUAGAAUUUGUACAUUGGCUUUGAUGUCAGGUUUGAAACCUGUGAUCAAAACAGCAAUUGCGGUGGUAGUGGAUGAAAUAGAGCAGAAAGCUAAUUCCGCAGAUGUACGAGUGGUUAAUGCAGCCAGAGUGAAAGUCAUUAACAGUGGUUUCAAUGGCCCAAGUAAGACAAGGAAAUGGGGAGGAAAGGGGAAAUCAAGAGUCCUGUUUUAGGUGUGGGGCUGUUGGUCAUUGGAAAAGGGAGUGUAAGGUAGGAAUGGAGCCCUGUGCAUUCGGGAGGGAUACUGCGAUGCAAAAAUGUGCAUCUUUGUCAAAACAAAAGUAACAUCCUUUUUGAAAACAGCGGGACAGGAAGAUGUUACAUAGCAGUGAAUGGCCUCGGUUGGAUUGAUAGUGGUUCAUAGACAUUACAGUUUCUAUGUGAAGUGAGACGUAGGAGCCCACGUCUCAAGCAACUUUUUAAUAGAUGCCAGGGAUCAAAUAUCGCGGAUUCCUUAUGAUGAGAAAUUGGCUAACAUUGCCAUAGGAAAAAGUAUUUUGGGUUGAAGAAUCUAUGCGAAAUUUCAAGGGAAUGGAUUCUAAAGAGGUAAAAAAAUAUUAUCUGGCCAAACACUCCUUGCCAACUCAGAAAAGCUUGGGGGGGGGGGUUUAAUCUCGUGAGACGUUUUAUUAUGAAUUUACAUUUUGUCGUCUUAUUCUGAAAUUGAUUUAUAGAAGGGACGAACGGGAGGAGGGGUCACCAAACCUAAAAUGAACUUUUUUGUUGUUCAUGAACAUUGUGGUGCUGUGGUUAUGGAGAAUCAUGGGGAAAAGAGAGCAGUGACUCGUUAGACUCGGUGGCGGGAUAAUGUCGCAGUGUCUAAGGGUAGUACGUGCCAAAUAAAGGAUAAAUAAACGAUGGGGUAGAUUAAAACAAAUGUAAUGAUUGGAGUAAGGACAGUGGAUUUACCAUUAUCAUGUUUGGUUUAUUAUUAUUAAUACUUUUGGAUUGCUGAUCAAAAUGUACACUUUCUUUUCCAUGAAAAUGAGGGGGGUUCAUUAUCUCCCUUUGGAAUGUUCCCCGAGACUGUGGUAUUGGGGAGAGCAGUUAGUGAUAUUUGGCCGUUUUAAGUAUAAAAGUAUCUGGAUUAGGCCAUAAACGGAGUUGCCAGAUAAGGCCUGACCACGUGUGUGUUUUUGACUUCCGGUUUACCACACACACAUCAGCACGCACACACAAUUUAUCAGUUGUGAAUAUGGGUUAGUGGUGUUGAUACCGUGGGAUUUAUUGUGAGGGGUCUUUACAACUUGGUUUUAAAUUGGGUAUGCAGAAGGAUGGAAAUGUUUGAAAUGUUUUUAAAUGGUUUCUGAAGGACAGGGAAAGAAAAGGGAAAGGAAAUUCUUAAUGGUGUUGAAUGACCUGUGUCCUGACUUUCUGGUGAAGCCUGAUCAACCUCACUAGAAAUGAUCGAGACAGGGGAAAUGACCAGUUCCCUGGGGCCCUGGUCCUUGGAUUGGAUCUGCUGGAUUGUUGGGAUUCCCCCCAUGAGUUAGAGUGCUAACUCCCUGAUCUGGUAACUCUUCUGAGAAGUCGCCAGUAAAAUAAGACAAUGACCCAACACACCUCCAGGCUGUGUAAGGGCUAUUUGACCAAGAAGGAGAGUGAUGGAGUGCUGCAUCAGAUGACCUAGCCUCCACAAUUACCUGACCUCAAUCCAAUUGAUAUGGUUUGGGAUGAGGUGGACUGCAGAGAGAAGGAAAAGCAGCCAACAAGUGUUCAGCAUAUGUGGGAACUCCUUCAAGACUGUUGGAAAAGCAUUCCAGGUGAAACUGGUUGGGAGAAUACCAAGAGAGCAAAGCUGUCAUCAAGGCAAAGAAUGGCUACUUUGAAGAACCCAAUAUAUAAAAUAUGAUUUGAUUUAUUUAACUUUUUUGGUUACUACAUGAUUCCAUAUGUGUAUUCCAUAGUUUGUCUUCUGUCUCAGCCUCCAGUAUUUAUGCUGCAGUAGUUUGUGUCGGGGGGCUAGGGUCAGUCUGUUACAUCUGGAGUAUUUCUCUUGUCUUAUCCGGUGUCCUGUGUGAAUUUAAAUAUGCUCUCUCUAAUUCUCUCUUUCUGUCUUUCUCUCGGAGGACCUGAGCCCUAGGACCAUGCCUCAGGACUACCUGGUAUGAUGACUCCUUGCUGUCCCCAGUCCACCUGGCCGUGCUGCUGCUCCAGUUUCAACUGUUCUGCCUGCGGCUAUGGAACCCAGACCUGUUCACCAGACGUGCUUGUUGCACCCUCGACAACUACUAUGAUUAUUAUUAUUUGACCAUGCUGGUCAUUUAUGAACAUUUUAACAUUUUAACAUUUUGACCAUGUUCUGUUAAUAUCCACCCUGCACAGCCAGAAGAGGACUGGCCACCCCUCAUAGCCUGGUUCCUCUCUAGGUUUCUUCCUAGGUUUUUGGCCUUUCUAGGGAGUUUUUCCUAGGGAGUUUUUCCUAGCCACCGUGCUUCUUUCACAUGCUUUGCUUGCUGUUUGGGGUUUUAGGCUGGGUUUCUGUACAGCACUUUGAGAAUAUCAGCUGAUGUACGAAGGGCUAUAUAAAAAUAAAUUUGAUUUGAUUUGAUUCACUAUUAUUCUACAAUGUAGAAAAUAGUAAAAAUAAAGAAAAACCCUUAAAUGAGUAGGUGUGUCCAAACUUUUGACUGGAACUGUAUAAAUAUGUGUAUGUAUAGCUCAAUCGUCUUGUUUUAGGGGUCUCAUGUUCUUGGUUUAAAAAAAUGAAACAAGUGGGGUUUGUGAUGUUGAGCUCAGUGUUGUGUGCGGGGGCAGUUCAGUGGAAUUAGUGACUUGACCAGAGACCAACCACAUUUUUGCUCAGUUGGGUGGGAUUUCCUGUUUUGUGACAGUUUACUUCUCUUCUCUGUCAUGAAAAUGCUAAUACCAGAAAGUGUCUAGAAGAUCACACAUUGACCUUUUGUACAUGGCAGUAUUAUUGCCAGAAAAUUGUAAUUUAACUCUCAAUGUUGGUUCAUCAGAAUUUUGUUUUGCUCAUCCACCAUAGUGUAACUUAAAAACAGUUAAAUCUGGGGUAAAUAUUGCAAUAAUUUACUACCAAGUGUUGGUGAGAAUCCUAGCUGAUAUUGGAG
rnacentral:lncRNA from 1 species